GACGAACGCUGGCGGCGUGCUUAACACAUGCAAGUCGAACGGAAAGGCCCUGCUUUUGUGGGGUGCUCGAGUGGCGAACGGGUGAGUAACACGUGAGUAACCUGCCCUUGACUUUGGGAUAACUUCAGGAAACUGGGGCUAAUACCGGAUAGGAGCUCCUGCUGCAUGGUGGGGGUUGGAAAGUUUCGGCGGUUGGGGAUGGACUCGCGGCUUAUGAGCCUGUUGGUGGGGUAGUGGCUUACCAAGGCUUUGACGGGUAGCCGGCCUGAGAGGGUGAACGGCCACAUUGGGACUGAGGUACGGCCCAGACGCGUACGGGAGGCAGCAGUGGGGAAUAUUGCACAGUGGGCGGAAGCCUGAUGCGGAGGCGCCGCGUGCGGGAUGACGGCCUUCGGGUUGUAAACCGCUUUCGCCUGUGACGAAGCGUGAGUGACGGUAAUGGGUAAAGAAGCACCGGCUAACUACGUG
rnacentral:rRNA from 1 species